GCCCGUCUUCCGAGCGGCGCUGGCCACCAGGCCACCCUUGGGUGGCGUUGGCAGCGAGGAGUUUCGGGAGCGAUCCCAGCUAGCGCCUACCAGGAAUCUUAGAUGUCUGAUGCUUGUCGGCUGGAUAUUGGAAUUAGAACAACAGAUCGUGAGAACUGUCAAGACCUGGGUAUUGAUUUGGUAGACACAGUGGAAGUUAAGUUGAUGAAGAAUAAGGACAGUGUAGAGUUGGUUGGGAGUCACCAGUGGAUCCAGAAGAGUUGUUGGAGGAAAUAAAAGAGGGCCUGAAGCACUAACAAAGAACAAGUAUCUAAUCUUUUUUUAUUCUUGAUUUCCAAACCUAAAUCUCUUGAGCUCCAAAUCGGAAUUUUCCAUUGGAUGUACCUAACAUCAGAUCUUGAUCUUUCUUGAUUGCAAAGUGAGAUGAUCACAUUGCUAGACUAAGCUUCUCAAGGUCUCUUUAGAUCCUUCAUUGUGCCUUUCAGGUGUUCAGAUUUUGCAAAUCUAAAUGUCAUAAAAACUUUAAAAAGAGGCGCAAUCCUCGCAAAGUUAGGUGGACCAAAGCAUUCCGGAAAGCAGCUGGUAAAGAGCUUACAGUG
rnacentral:sRNA from 1 species